AGUGUUUCAAACACGACCUGCUCUGCCUAAGUACACAAGCAUCUGCGAUGUUAUAGUUAUAUUGACAUUUUUGUCCGAACUUCUUGGUGACCGUAACACAAUGCAACAUCAUUUAUACCACGUGAUCGCUAGCGCCGAAAGGCGAAUCAUAUUUCAAGAUUUCAAAUUAACACGGGAGGAUAACUUUGAUCAACGUCAAAAGCUGAAAACAUUUUAUUCUCAAAUCUACAUUCUCUUUUGAUUUCUUUUGCGGGGUCAAAACUCGAUCGCAAAAAAGGCUUUUGCAAAAUCAUAAAUAUCAGCCAGAAGCAGUAUGUUUCGCUUUCGAUUUCUGAGAAUCAUGACAGCGAGGACGAGUACAUAUCAUGAUGGCAAAGUUAACUCCGGCUUGGAAGCACAGGGAUUCAAGAUUACUGGUAUCGAGUUUUAAAAUAUAAACACUGUAAAUACGAAAAUUCUGUAAAAUAUUCUAUUCUAAUAUCAGUCCGCCAGUUAAGCUACAAAGAGUACUUGGUUCUUGGAAGAUUACGCAGCGAAACGAAGCUCUGCUUGGAAUUAUGCCUUAUACAUUUUCGCAAUGAUAUUGAGAAAAGAAUAAAAUUACAACAUGAAGAUGUCCAGGCUCCUUCGCGGAAUUCUUUGCGUGUUGAUGUUCCUUUCCAUGCAGUCUCAAGAUGCUGAUGCUGGUCCGAUUAGUUUUUGUGUCUGCAUUUCUUUAUGUACCACGAACUGGGUUGCCUGUUGCGCCGCUGUUGGAGGAACUGCUGGUGUGACCACUGGUGGAGUUGGUGUCCCGGCAGCCAUCGUGGCCUGCAAUGCGAUACAAGCAGCUUGCACGGGGGCCUGCGGAGCAGCUGGAUUGACUCCAAUACCUUGAGACAGUACAAGGCAUGAAAAACCAUCCGUCCUCUUGGGAGGUCCUACCUUUUUUUAGUGUAGUCAAUUUGACUUAAUCGUUUUGACUAGUUACAACUUAAUAUUGCAUUUAAUGUAUUGAUAAAGCUGGAUUGAGUACUUCACUCACCUUAGUUUGUUCUACUUUUGAUCACCUUGGUUGCACUAAGCUUUUUAGUAGGAGAAACAACUUUGAAAAACUUCAACGAUGUAUGCAAAAUAAUGCUUAUUUGUUAAAAGAUUUUUGUGAACUUUGAAUUUAAGCUAGCUUUUGUCGUCUUUAUUGAUCUUGUAAAGCAAAAUAUGGAAAUUUAAUAAAUGUUUUAACAAACUAA